ACUCUAAGCGGUGGAUCACUCGGCUCAUGGGUCGAUGAAGAACGCAGCAAACUGUGCGUCAUCGUGUGAACUGCAGGACACAUGAACAUCGACAUUUUGAACGCAUAUCGCAGUCCAUGCUGUUAUGUACUUUAAUUAAUUUUAUAGUGCUGCUUGGACUACAUAUGGUUGAGGGUUGUAAGACUAUGCUAAUUAAGUUGCUUAUAAAUUUUUAUAAGCAUAUGGUAUAUUAUUGGAUAAAUAUAAUAAUUUUUAUUCAUAAUAUUAAAAAAUAAAUGAAAAACAUUAUCUCACAUUUGAAUGUGAAAAACGAAGAGAAAUAUUUUCUUUUUCAAUCAAAUAAUACUGAGAAAUGUCUAGCAUAAAAAAUUGAAAUAUUUUUCAUCUAGAAUUGUCUCUUAUUAAUGAUUCGGAAAUAGAAAAAUCUUGGUUAUGUUAUUAUUCUUCGUUGGUUCGUUAAAAAUGGAUAAAUAAAAACUUUGCAUACAAGAAUUAAUAAAAAUGUUAUAACGAAUUUAAUUAAAUGUUUUAUCAUUAUAUAUAAAGAAUUUAUGGCAAGAUAAAGUUAUAUACAACCUCAACUCAUAUGGGACUACCCCCUGAAUUUAAGCAUAUUAAUUAGGGGAGGAAAAGAAACUAACAAGGAUUUUCUUAGUAGCGGCGAGCGAAAAGAAAACAGUUCAGCACUAAGUCACUUUGUCUAUAUGGCAAAUGUGAGAUGCAGUGUAUGGAGCGUCAAUAUUCUAGUAUGAGAAAUUAACGAUUUAAGUCCUUCUUAAAUGAGGCCAUUUACCCAUAGAGGGUGCCAGGCCCGUAUAACGUUAAUGAUUACUAGAUGAUGUUUCCAAAGAGUCGUGUUGCUUGAUAGUGCAGCACUAAGUGGGUGGUAAACUCCAUCUAAAACUAAAUAUAACCAUGAGACCGAUAGUAAACAAGUACCGUGAGGGAAAGUUGAAAAGAACUCUGAAUAGAGAGUUAAACAGUACGUGAAACUGCUUAGAGGUUAAGCCCGAUGAACCUGAAUAUCCGUUAUGGAAAAUUCAUCAUUAAAAUUGUAAUAUUUAAAUAAUAUUAUGAGAAUAGUGUGCAUUUUUUCCAUAUAAGGACAUUGUAAUCUAUUAGCAUAUACCAAAUUUAUCAUAAAAUAUAACUUAUAGUUUAUUCCAAUUAAAUUGCUUGCAUUUUAACACAGAAUAAAUGUUAUUAAUUUGAUAAAGUGCUGAUAGAUUUAUAUGAUUACAGUGCGUUAAUUUUUCGGAAUUAUAUAAUGGCAUAAUUAUCAUUGAUUUUUGUGUUUAUUAUAUGCACUUGUAUGAUUAACAAUGCGAAAGAUUCAGGAUACCUUCGGGACCCGUCUUGAAACACGGACCAAGGAGUCUAACAUAUGUGCAAGUUAUUGGGAUAUAAACCUAAUAGCGUAAUUAACUUGACUAAUAAUGGGAUUAGUUUUUUAGCUAUUUAUAGCUAAUUAACACAAUCCCGGGGCGUUCUAUAUAGUUAUGUAUAAUGUAUAUUUAUAUUAUUUAUGCCUCUAACUGGAACGUACCUUGAGCAUAUAUGCUGUGACCCGAAAGAUGGUGAACUAUACUUGAUCAGGUUGAAGUCAGGGGAAACCCUGAUGGAAGACCGAAACAGUUCUGACGUGCAAAUCGAUUGUCAGAAUUGAGUAUAGGGGCGAAAGACCAAUCGAACCAUCUAGUAGCUGGUUCCUUCCGAAGUUUCCCUCAGGAUAGCUGGUGCAUUUUAAUAUUAUAUAAAAUAAUCUUAUCUGGUAAAGCGAAUGAUUAGAGGCCUUAGGGUCGAAACGAUCUUAACCUAUUCUCAAACUUUAAAUGGGUAAGAACCUUAACUUUCUUGAUAUGAAGUUCAAGGUUAUGAUAUAAUGUGCCCAGUGGGCCACUUUUGGUAAGCAGAACUGGCGCUGUGGGAUGAACCAAACGUAAUGUUACGGUGCCCAAAUUAACAACUCAUGCAGAUACCAUGAAAGGCGUUGGUUGCUUAAAACAGCAGGACGGUGAUCAUGGAAGUCGAAAUCCGCUAAGGAGUGUGUAACAACUCACCUGCCGAAGCAACUAGCCCUUAAAAUGGAUGGCGCUUAAGUUGUAUACCUAUACAUUACCGCUAAAGUAGAUGAUUUAUAUUACUUGUGAUAUAAAUUUUGAAACUUUAGUGAGUAGGAAGGUACAAUGGUAUGCGUAGAAGUGUUUGGCGUAAGCCUGCAUGGAGCUGCCAUUGGUACAGAUCUUGGUGGUAGUAGCAAAUAAUCGAAUGAGACCUUGGAGGACUGAAGUGGAGAAGGGUUUCGUGUGAACAGUGGUUGAUCACGAGUUAGUCGGUCCUAAGUUCAAGGCGAAAGCCGAAAAUUUUCAAGUAAAACAAAAAUGCCUAACUAUAUAAACAAAGCGAAUUAUAAUACACUUGAAUAAUUUUGAACGAAAGGGAAUACGGUUCCAAUUCCGUAACCUGUUGAGUAUCCGUUUGUUAUUAAAUAUGGGCCUCGUGCUCAUCCUGGCAACAGGAACGACCAUAAAGAAGCCGUCGAGAGAUAUCGGAAGAGUUUUCUUUUCUGUUUUAUAGCCGUACUACCAUGGAAGUCUUUCGCAGAGAGAUAUGGUAGAUGGGCUAGAAGAGCAUGACAUAUACUGUUGUGUCGAUAUUUUCUCCUCGGACCUUGAAAAUUUAUGGUGGGGACACGCAAACUUCUCAACAGGCCGUACCAAUAUCCGCAGCUGGUCUCCAAGGUGAAGAGUCUCUAGUCGAUAGAAUAAUGUAGGUAAGGGAAGUCGGCAAAUUAGAUCCGUAACUUCGGGAUAAGGAUUGGCUCUGAAGAUUGAGAUAGUCGGGCUUGAUUGGGAAACAAUAACAUGGUUUAUGUGCUCGUUCUGGGUAAAUAGAGUUUCUAGCAUUUAUGUUAGUUACUUGUUCCCCGGAUAGUUUAGUUACGUAGCCAAUUGUGGAACUUUCUUGCUAAAAUUUUUAAGAAUACUAUUUGGGUUAAACCAAUUAGUUCUUAUUAAUUAUAACGAUUAUCAAUUAACAAUCAAUUCAGAACUGGCACGGACUUGGGGAAUCCGACUGUCUAAUUAAAACAAAGCAUUGUGAUGGCCCUAGCGGGUGUUGACACAAUGUGAUUUCUGCCCAGUGCUCUGAAUGUCAAAGUGAAGAAAUUCAAGUAAGCGCGGGUCAACGGCGGGAGUAACUAUGACUCUCUUAAGGUAGCCAAAUGCCUCGUCAUCUAAUUAGUGACGCGCAUGAAUGGAUUAACGACGGACGUGUUUUCGUU
rnacentral:rRNA from 1 species